rnacentral:RNase_P_RNA from 1 species
CGAGUUGGUCAGGCGAUCGCUGUCGCUUCGCGGCAGAGGAAAGUCCGGGCUCCAACGGGUCAGAGCGCCAGGUAACGCCUGGGGGGCGUGAGCCCACGGAAAGUGCAGCAGAAAGGAAACCGCCGGUUCGCCGGUAAGGGUGAAAAGGUGCGGUAAGAGCGCACCGCGUGGCUGGCAACAGGCACGGCGAUGGUAAACCCCACCUGG